UCCCUGGUGGCUCAGAUGGUAAAGCAUCUGUCUACAAUGCAGAAGACCCGGGUUCGAUCCCUGGGUCGGGAA
rnacentral:tRNA from 1 species